GGAAAAUCGUUGCGAGGGAGAAGUACAAUGUUAUCGUCCAUCACAGAAAGAGUCUUCACCGGCUGAAAGAGACUUAUGGGCAGACGUUGGAAAUGCACCCUCAAGACCCUUGAGGAACACGUAUGUUAGUAUGCAAGGGCGGUACCCUCCGUUAUGGGAUGAAGUUGAGAAGGCUGUGAAAUGAGGGCUUUCUAAACAGAGUGGAACCGCGUUUUCAAAACGUCUCUGUC
rnacentral:ncRNA from 2 species